rnacentral:rRNA from 1 species
GUGGUAAUGCCGGAUGCUCCAGUUGAUCGCAUGGUCUUCUGGGAAAGCCUUUGCGGCAUGGGAUGGGGUCGCGUCCUAUCAGCUUGAUGGCGGGGUAACGGCCCACCAUGGCUUCGACGGGUAGCCGGCCUGAGAGGGCGACCGGCCACAUUGGGACUGAGAUACGGCCCAGACUCCUACGGGAGGCAGCAGUGGGGAAUAUUGCACAAUGGGCGCAAGCCUGAUGCAGCGACGCCGCGUGAGGGAUGGAGGCCUUCGGGUUGUAAACCUCUUUUGUUAGGGAGCAAGGCAUUUUGUGUUGAGUGUACCUUUCGAAUAAGCACCGGCUAACUACGUGCCAGCAGCCGCGGUAAUACGUAGGGUGCAAGCGUUAUCCGGAAUUAUUGGGCGUAAAGGGCUCGUAGGCGGUUCGUCGCGUCCGGUGUGAAAGUCCAUCGCUUAACGGUGGAUCCGCGCCGGGUACGGGCGGGCUUGAGUGCGGUAGGGGAGACUGGAAUUCCCGGUGUAACGGUGGAAUGUGUAGAUAUCGGAAAAAAACACCA